rnacentral:rRNA from 1 species
UACAGAGGUCUCGAGCGUUGUUCGGAUUCAUUGGGCGUAAAGGGUGCGUAGGUGGCGCUGUAAGUCAGGUGUGAAAUUUCGGAGCUUAACUCCGAAACUGCAUUCGAUACUGCGGUGCUUGAGGACUGGAGAGGAGACUGGAAUUCAUGGUGUAGCAGUGAAAUGCGUAGAAGAUCAUGAGGAAGACCAGUGGCGAAGGCGGGUCUCUGGACAGUUCCUGACACUGAGGCACGAAGGCCAGGGGAGCAAACGGG